GAUGAACGCUGGCGGCGUGCUUAACACAUGCAAGUCGAGCGAGUGAGUUCUUCGGAACGAUCUAGCGGCGGACGGGUGAGUAACACGUGGGCAACCUGCCUCAUAGAGGGGAAUAGCCUCCCGAAAGGGAGAUUAAUACCGCAUAAAAUUAUCGAGUGGCAUCACAUGAUAAUCAAAGGAGUAAUCCGCUAUGAGAUGGGCCCGUGGCGCAUUAGCUAGUUGGUGAGGUAACGGCUCACCAAGGCGACGAUGCGUAGCCGACCUGGGAGGGUGAUCGGCCACAUUGGGACUGAGACACGGCCCAGACUCCUACGGGAGGCAGCAGUGGGGAAUAUUGCACAAUGGGGGAAACCCUGAUGCAGCAACGCCGCGUGAGUGAUGAAGGUCUUCGGAUUGUAAAGCUCUGUCUUUGGGGACGAUAAUGACGGUACCCAAGGAGGAAGCCACGGCUAACUACGUGCCAGCAGCCGCAGUAA
rnacentral:rRNA from 1 species